GCCCCCAUCGUCUAGAGGCCUAGGACGUAGCCCUCUCAAGGCUAAGACAGGGGUUCAAAUCCCCUUGGGGGUA
rnacentral:tRNA from 1 species